AAGGACAGAAGAGAGAGUAGACCCAGCCUUGGCCCUGCUAGGCUGGGCAGCCUGGCAGGUAGAGUCAGCAGGGGUAGAGCUUGCUUUCCUGUUCACAAUCUUCAACCAAGUUCAGGGAGGUCUGAGUACUGAGGUCUUCAGAGCCACUGCAGCCCCAGGUAGCUGAGGACAACCUCCAAGCGCAGGAGCGCAAAGGCUGGCGUUCUUCAGGCUCUGAGGCUGUCCCUCCUGGUGGAGGUGAACUGCUUAUUAUCGGUGUGGACAAGACUGUGGAUAAAGUUUGCUGAACCCUAGAGAGAAGUCAUGGCCCAUGGCUGGCAGAUGGAAGCCUCAGGACCUGAAGAUUUCUCAAAGAAAGGGACCUGCUGCUGAGAGCAAUUAAUACAUGUUCACAGCUUGCAGCUGAAGCCUGAUGAUGGCUGUAGGAUAAAGGACAUCACCCAGAUGACAUUUUGCCUCCAAAGCUCUGGGGACCAAUUGUGGAAGAACUGCAGGGAUAUUAUGUUAGAAUGUUCUUGUGUCUGGAUAGGAUGAGAACUGUCUUAUAACAAAGUGCAGCCCCCAUGUCUGAGGGCAUGUUUCCUGUGUUUAGGCACUUCUGAAGCAGGGAGCACCUUCAGGGGGCACUGGCCUUCCCAGAAAGAGUGUUUGACCUGUGAUGAUGUCCUGGGGGAGGGGACCUAGAAAAAAACCUUAGCCUUUCCAUAGGCACGAUUAUUCUCCUCUAUAGAGCCUCAAAAGUCAAGUCAAGUAGUAAGCACACUGUGCUCCAGUCUGUGGCCACAGACACACACAAGGACUGGAGCAAAACCAAACAUAGUGUAUCAUCACCACUGAGCCCCCAGGAGCCCCCAGAUGCUUCUGAACGUCAAAGGAGAAAGAAGCUGUCAGAGAUCAGGCUGACUGUGGUGGGUUAGGUGUGCGGCAUUGCCUCUGGGUCCCUGCUUUAGUUUAAUCAAACUAAAUCUGGUGGUGAA
rnacentral:lncRNA from 1 species